AGCAUAUCAAUAAGCGGAGGAAAAGAAACCAACAGGGAUUGCCCCCAGUAACGGCGAGUGAAGCGGCAACAGCUCAAAUUUGAAAUCUGGCCCYAGGCCCGAGUUGUAAUUUGCAGAGGAUGCUUUUGGCGCGGUGCCUUCCGAGUUCCCUGGAACGGGACGCCAUAGAGGGUGAGAGCCCCGUACGGUUGGACACCAAGYCUUUGUAAAGCUCCUUCGACGAGUCGAGUAGUUUGGGAAUGCUGCUCWAAAUGGGAGGUAUAUUUCUUCUAAAGCUAAAUAUWGGCCAGAGACCGAUAGCGCACAAGUAGAGUGAUCGAAAGAUGAAAAGCACUUUGAAAAGAGGGUUAAACAGCACGUGAAAUUGUURAAAGGGAAGCGCUUGUGACCAGACUUGCGUCCGGUGAAUCACCCAGCUCUCGCGGCUGGGGCAYUUUGCCGGCWCAGGCCAGCAUCAGCUYGCYGUCGGGGACAAAAGCUUCGGGAACGUAGCUCUCUUCGGGGAGUGUUAUAGCCCGUUGCAUAAUACCCUUCGGUGGGCUGAGGUACGCGCUCCGCAAGGAUGCUGGCGUAAUGGUCAUCAGCGACCCGUCUUGAAACACGGACCAAGGAGUCAACCUUAUGUGCGAGUGUUUGGGUGUUAAMCCCCUACGCGUAAUGAAAGUGAACGCAGGUGAGAGCUUCGGCGCAUCAUCGACCGAUCCUGAUGUUCUCGGAYGGAUUUGAGUAAGAGCAUAUAGGGUUGGACCCGAAAGAAGGUGAACUAUGCGUGUAUAGGGUGAAGCCAGAGGAAACUCUGGUGGAGGCUCGCAGCGGUUCUGACGUGCAAAUCGAUCGUCAAAUAUGCGCAUGGGGGCGAAAGACUAAUCGAACCUUCUAGUAGCUGGUUUCCG
rnacentral:rRNA from 1 species